rnacentral:rRNA from 1 species
GAUGAACGCUGGCGGCGUGCCUAAUACAUGCAAGUCGAACGCUGGAAAUCUAGCUUGCUAGAUUGAAGGAGUGGCGAACGGGUGAGUAAUACAUAAGCAACCUACCCACGAAGACUGGGAUAAUCUCUGGAAACGGGGACUAAUACCGGAUAGGUAAUCGGAAGGCAUCUUCUGAUUAUUAAAGGUUAAAAACACUGGUGGAUGGGCUUAUGGCGCAUUAGUUAGUUGGUGAGGUAACGGCCCACCAAGACGAUGAUGCGUAGCCGGCCUGAGGGGGUGAACGGCCACAUUGGGACUGAGACACGGCCCAGACUCCUACGGGAGGGAGCAGUAGGGAAUGUUCGGCGAUGGAGGAAACCCUGACCGAGCAACGCCGCGUGAGUGAUGACGGCCUUCGGGUUGUAAAGCUCUGUUGUAAGAAAAGAACGGUAGAUAGAGAAUAUCUAAAUGACGGUACCUUACCAGAAAGCCACGGCUAACUACGUG